rnacentral:tRNA from 1 species
AGGCGGGUAAGUUAAAGUUUAAACUACGGGGUUCAUGUCCCCGCAAUAUAGUAUUAUCCUGCUUA